UACAGAGGGGGCGAGCGUUGUUCGGAAUUACUGGGCGUAAAGGGCGCGUAGGCGGCCAACUAAGUCAGACGUGAAAUCCCUCGGCUCAACCGGGGAACUGCGUCUGAUACUGGAUGGCUUGAAUUCGGGAGAGGGAUGCAGAAUUCCAGGUGUAGCGGUGAAAUGCGUAGAUAUCUGGAGGAACACCGGUGGCGAAGGCGGCAUCCUGGACCAACACUGACGCUGAGGAGCGAAAGCCAGGGGAGCAAACGGG
rnacentral:rRNA from 1 species